CCUACGGGCGGCUGCAGUGGGGAAUAUUGCACAAUGGGCGCAAGCCUGAUACAGCCAUGCCGCGUGUGUGAAGAAGGCCUUCGGGUUGUAAAGCACUUUCAGCGGGGAGGAAGGCGGUAAGGUUAAUAACCUUGGCGAUUGACGUUACCCGCAGAAGAAGCACCGGCUAACUCCGUGCCAGCAGGCGCGGUAAUACGGAGGGUGCAAGCGUUAAUCGGAAUUACUGGGCGUAAAGCGCACGCAGGCGGUCUGUCAAGUCGGAUGUGAAAUCCCCGGGCUCAACCUGGGAACUGCAUUCGAAACUGGCAGGCUAGAGUCUUGUAGAGGGGGGUAGAAUUCCAGGUGUAGCGGUGAAAUGCGUAGAGAUCUGGAGGAAUACCGGUGGCGAAGGCGGCCCCCUGGACAAAGACUGACGCUCAGGUGCGAAAGCGUGGGGAGCAAACAGGAUUAGAUACCCCGGUAGUC
rnacentral:rRNA from 1 species